UUCGUCCACGCCCCACGCACGCCGCAUCUUCCUCGCUAACUCCUCCGGUUAUGUGGGCGAGAAUGAGGCCCUCAGAUCCCGUCACCGCCCCCACGCCAUUGGCACAGACCCCCCAUCCCGUCGCUAGGUGGAGGAUGCCGCGGAGGCAGCCGUGCCAACGACGAGCGUAGGACGCGGGUGGACUUCCCCUCGCCCUGCUCUGCCGCCCCUCCAGCCCUCAUCAUCCUCGCGCUUCUCCCGAACCAGCGUCUCCCGUCCGCCUCGGCGCCUUCCGUAGCAGGCCAGGGCCGGAGCCGAGAAUGAAGCGUUCGCACGCGUCCAUCUCUCCCUUCGAGCCCCUUCGAUGCGCCCCCGACUGUCGCCGCCAUCUUCACUGGAAGCUCUACGAUGAUCAAGACUGGGGAAGGAUGCCGAAGAUGUAGAGGUUGUUGCCCCAGUGACGCUGGAGCCCAUUCAAAGGAACAGAAGAUGCGCGUUUUUCCUCCUGACCAUUUGAGUGGUGUUCUGUGCAAUUUAUGCUUGUUUUGAAAAUUUGAUUAUAGACGUCGAAUUUAUCUCCAAUCAUCUGUUGUACUAUUGUUGGGGAACGUCGCAGAAAACAAAAAUUUUCCUACU